rnacentral:rRNA from 1 species
UACAGAGGGGGCCAGCGUUAUUCGGAAUUAUUGGGCGUAAAGGGCGCGUAGGCGGCCAUGCGUGUCUUCCGUGAAAUCCCUCGGCUUAACCGAGGACGUGCGGAAGAAACUGCAAGGCUCGGAGUCCGGGAAGAGGGGGGCGGAAUUCCCAGUGUAGCGGUGAAAUGCGUAGAUAUUGGGAGGAACACCAGUGGCGAAGGCGGUCCCCUGGGCCGGAACUGACGCUGAUGCGCGAAAGCGUGGGUAGCAAACGGGG